UCCGGCAUGGUCUAGUGGCUAGGAUACCUGGCUCUCACCCAGGAGGCCCGGGUGCGAUUCCCGGUGUCGGAA
rnacentral:tRNA from 1 species